UACGAAGGGGACUAGCGUUGUUCGGAAUCACUGGGCGUAAAGCGCACGUAGGCGGAUGUGUCAGUCAGGGGUGAAAUCCCGGGGCUCAACCUCGGAACUGCCUUUGAUACAGCACGUCUCGAGUCCGGAAGAGGUGGGUGGAAUUCCUAGUGUAGAGGUGAAAUUCGUAGAUAUUAGGAAGAACACCGGUGGCGAAGGCGGCCCACUGGUCCGGUACUGGACGCUGAGGUGCCGAAAGCGUGGGGG
rnacentral:rRNA from 1 species